ACUUCCUGAGCCGGAACGAAAAGUUUUAUCGGAAUGCGUGUUCUGAUGGGCUUUUGGCUUACGGUUGUGAUGUUGUGUUGUUGUGUUUGCAAUUGGUCUGCGAUUCAGACCACGGUAGCGAGACUACCCUUUUUCACUUCCUGUACA
rnacentral:ncRNA from 31 species